AUCCAGGAUUUUUUAAAAUCCACAGUAUACUGAUUUAAAUUCUCAU
rfam:Fukomys damarensis contig142566, whole genome shotgun sequence.